CCUGCUUUGGACCCUGAGCUGAACAGGGAGUCUCUCCCUUUCCCACUGCCCCUCCCACUGCUCAUGCUCUUUCUCUCUCUUUCUCAAAUAAAUAAAUCUUUACAAAAAUUUUAUUUGUAAUGUGUUUUGUUGCAGGUGCCUUUGGAACAUCCAUGUAUCAACAUAAAGUUUGCUGUUGUAAAUGUUUGUCUGAAACUGAAGCUGUUGUAAAUGUUUGUCUGAAACUCAUGAAAGAGGUGCAAAAAAGGUGGUUUUAUUAAAGCAUGAAGACAAGAUCCAUGGGCAGAAAGAGCUGCUAAACCAAACAUAUUUUGCAGUUACAGAAACUGAAGAAUGCUUCAGAUAAGGAGUAAUCAAAUCUUAAAACUCUUGGAAGACCUUUCCAUCUGUCCACGCCCUGGUGGGUCCCAUACAGCCUUCAUUCCAUCCCACGCCACCGGCCGCACUCCCUCUCUGCUACCGCUGCAUCAUUACUCUACCCAGAGAAGCUUCAAAGGACUUUACAAGAAAAAUAAGUUAAGUGUGUGGUUCUGGCAGAGGAGCAAAAGCAAAUGUGGAAAGUGAGGAAUAUCAAAGUAAAGCCAGUUUCUAUCUUAAUUAGUGUGAUUUUUUACAGUAACUCUUUCACUGCCUUAAGCAUCUAAAAUCAAUUUGAGUAAUAGUUCAGAAAGCUGUAUUCUUGGAACUGUAAUGUCAUUACAGAAUUUCUAUUCUAACAAUAGCUGUCUAUAUACUUGGCUAAAGUUAAUAGAAUUAAAAUGAUGUAACGACAGAUUCCAUUUGUCUUAACAAAAUAAAAAACUAAAGCACAGUGUAAGACUCUGGAAUUACUUUUAUUCUGUUCUUCAUUUUAUAAAGAAUUUGAACGUAUUGCUGAUAUAGGUACUACCUUAAUAACAUUCAGAAUGUCUGUUUAGAAGGUUAUGACUUCAGGGGGAAAAUCUUUUUUUUUUCUUCCUGUGACUUUCUAGAAAAGGGGAAAAGGCAUUGUUUUAUAAUAUAAUUAGAGCCGCAGGUAUCAACUGUGAUACUUCAAGCUGUGUAAAUCUGAAUGAGUAAAAAUUCUGAAGACAAAGAUCAAGAUUUUAAAUGUCUUAUUAAAACACAUUUCUUCACCAGAGGGAGAGACUGUAAACACCAUCUGAAUAUCAAUCUCAAACACUGGAAUCUCCUUUCAGAGUGACUUGAUGAGGUUGAUAAGCACUCUCUGUGACAAAAUUAUUCUUUGACUAUGAGGGCUAGCUAUUUGGUAAUUAUAUAGAGGUUGAUUUUUUUUUUUUUUUUUUUUUUUUGCUUUUAAACCAAGGGAAACUGUAUUUUGAUGAAGUGUCAAGUUUUACUACUAUCUGUAUAAAAGCCCAUUUGUCAUGGUUA
rnacentral:lncRNA from 1 species